rnacentral:misc_RNA from 1 species
UGCUAAAAAUUAAAUUAAAAAUGAUUGAAAAGAAAAAAGAAGAAAAAAAUUGAAAUGGAAAAUGGAGUUAUGACAUCACCUAGAUGAUGUCAUAAAUGUGAAAUAAAAAUUAUCCACCAAUUGGACUUCAACAAAUACACUUAAGAAGACUUAAAGAGGGAUAAGAAAAGAAAAAAAAAAGUCAUCUUCCACCUUGGGCAGCCGAACCAUAGAGAGAGAGAGAGAGAGGAAAG